UGAAUAUAUUAUAUCUCAGUAGAAGUAUAUAUGUCAGCCUGCUAUAUUAGUCUACUGGGUCAGUAAUUGUUCCAAUAACUAGUCUGAAUGGAAUAGAAUCCAUAUCAAGGGCAUCCUCUCUAUAUUAGAAUCCAAUUUUUUUAAAACUCAUAUUUUCUUUUGCUUGAACAGAACAAAAGAUCAUCUGUAGCUACCUUUCAGGAAGAAAAAAAAGCAGAAUUUUGGUGAAAAUCCUUCCAGUGCCUUCCACAUCUCAGCAUAAUAAGCCAUUCGGUACAGUUGAUGUAUGCAGUGUUGUAGCACUGUCAGCUCUAGGAUAUUAGAGAGACGAGGUGGGUGAAGUAAUAUCUUUUACUGGACCAACUUCUGUUGGUGAGAAAGACAAUCUUUUGAGCUUAUCCGGAGCUCUUUUCAGGUCUGGGAAAUGUACUCAGAGUGUCACAGCUAAAUACAAAGUUUAGCAUAAGUAGUU
rnacentral:lncRNA from 1 species